rnacentral:rRNA from 1 species
ACGCUCGACACCUACGGGAGGCAGCAGGUGGGGAAUAUUGCACAAUGGGGGAAACCCUGAUGCAGCAACGCCGCGUGAAGGAAGACGGUUUUCGGAUUGUAAACUUCUGUUCUUAGUGAAGAUAGUGACGGUAGCUAAGGAGCAAGCCACGGCUAACUACGUGCCCGCAGCCGCGGUAAUCUGAGCGGGCUGGCAAGC